GAGCUGGGGAAGGGGGCGGAGCCAGUGGUGACGUCACGCAUGAGCUGAGGCAUGGAGCUGGAGAGGCACUGCUGGCUAAGUUAAUGUGACUCCUUCUAAAGAUCAUAAUUCAGGAGAGAAGGUUCCUGCCAUGACACCUGGGAAGGAGCAGGAAGCAUUAUAUGAGGAUUCCUCUGGAGAUGGCGUUAGCACCAUUUAUAGUAACACAGCCCAACGUUCAGACUCCACAGAUGAAUUUACCACCUAUUUCGAUCAGAAAGUACCUAUACCUGAAGAUGAAAAGCAUCCAUGGUUCAGUUUUCGAAAACUCUGGGCCUUCACUGGACCAGGUUUUCUCAUGAGUAUUGCCUACCUGGAUCCAGGCAACAUUGAAUCGGAUCUGCAGUCUGGUUCUAUUGCAGGCUUUAAGCUGCUCUGGGUUCUCUUACUGGCUACUGUCAUUGGUUUGCUCCUGCAGCGUCUGGCAGCUAGGUUAGGAGUGGUAACAGGACUUCAUUUGGCAGAAGUAUGCAACCGACAAUAUCCCAAGGUCCCUCGGAUUAUCCUGUGGCUGAUGGUUGAGCUGGCUAUCAUUGGGUCAGACAUGCAAGAAGUCAUUGGCUCAGCAAUUGCCAUUAACCUUUUGAGUGCUGGGAUAGUACCUUUGUGGGGUGGAGUUCUCAUAACAAUUGCUGAUACCUUUGUGUUUCUUUUCCUGGACAAGUAUGGCUUGAGGAAACUGGAAGCAUUUUUUGGCUUCCUGAUUACUAUUAUGGCCAUCACGUUUGGGUAUGAGUAUGUUACAGUACGACCAAACCAGGGCCAGCUGCUAAAAGGGAUGUUUUUGCCAUAUUGUGAGGGCUGUGGGCCCCCCCAGCUAGAGCAAGCUGUUGGAAUCGUUGGUGCUGUCAUCAUGCCACACAACAUGUAUUUGCAUUCUGCUUUGGUCAAGUCUCGACAGGUGAAUCGUGCCAACAAGAAGGAGGUCGCUGAAGCCAACAAAUAUUUUUUCAUAGAAUCCUGUAUUGCCCUUUUUGUCUCCUUUCUCAUCAAUGUUUUUGUUGUCUCAGUAUUUGCUGAAGCUUUCUUUGGAAAAUCAAAUGAAGUUGUGCACAAUUUCUGUGCAAAUAAAAGUGAUCCUCAAGCAGGACUGUUUCCAGAUAACAACCAGACCUUGGACGUGGAUAUCUACAAAGGGGGUGUUGUCCUGGGUUGUUACUUUGGCCCUGCUGCUAUGUACAUCUGGGCAAUUGGGAUUCUUGCUGCAGGCCAGAGCUCAACAAUGACUGGAACUUAUUCUGGACAGUUUGCCAUGGAGGGUUUCCUCAAUCUGAAGUGGUCACGUUUUGCUCGUGUGGUUCUGACCCGCUCCAUUGCCAUCACCCCAACCCUUCUGGUUGCCAUUUUCCAAGAUGUGGAACACCUGACUGGCAUGAAUGAUUUUCUCAAUGUUCUUAUGAGUUUACAGCUUCCUUUUGCAUUAAUCCCAGUCCUCACAUUCACCAGUCUGCGUCCUGUGAUGAAUGACUUUGCCAAUGGCUUAGGCUGGAAGAUUGCUGGAGGAAUUCUCAUUCUUAUAAUCUGCACCAUUAACAUAUACUUUGUUGUGGUUUAUGUUACUGCCCUGGGACAAAUGGUAUUGUAUGUGUGUGCUUCCAUUCUCAGCCUUUUCUACCUUGCCUUCGUGGCAUACUUGACUUGGCAGUGCUUAAUUGCUCUCGGGAUCUCCAGCCUGGCCUGUGGGCACACGCUUUCCCUGCUAUCUUCAAGGGACCCAGAAGGUGUUCUGUCAAUACGUAUUAGAUGAAAACGUCUACCAUCAUCAUGCUGGCUGGGGAUGGUCAGACUUGUAAUCCAAAAGAAUUGGAGGGCAUGGGAAGGUUGAUAUCCAGUAUAAUCUGGGACUCAUCUCUCAUCCUGAACUCUUCCUCCUCAACAACAUUGAUGCUGAACCAGUCCUGAGUAGGUGAAUCCUUCUGAACCACAGAAGAUGGGAACUUCUUUUUAAAAGGAAAAAAAGCCCUCCUAUGCUGCACAUUAGUUCAGAAGUGAGUGUGUAUGGCAAAUGGAGACAGACUUCUCUUUUGCACGAGGAGCACAAGUGAGAAGCAGGGAGGGGGAAGUGGUGCUAUCAAGGAUUGUUUGAUUCACUGGAAAAUAGACUUCUUUAAAGAUGCCAACAGUGAAGGCUGUUAAAGGGCUACUGACAUCAAACACUGUGAAGGGGGAAGAAUUGUACUUAAUGGUUGACGGACUUCUAUCUUUUUAUGUGGGUCACUGCCAAACACCUGCAAAAUGCAAGAGGAGGACAUCACCAGAAACAGAAGAGCAGUUAUUAAAGGAAGGGUGUUAUUCUCUUCUUCCAUUUAAUCCUCUCCCCAAUACACACAUCCUCUCACCCUGGUUAGUUUUCUCCUAGUUGGGCUUAUUCCUUGGAGCCCAAGUGGAAGAAAAGUGGCUGAAUGAGAGUUGCCUGUUGGGUUGAAGAGGAGGCAGAUGAGAGAGUUCAGCCCUCCUUUCCCAUCUGCUGUUCCCCCCCCCCCCCUUGAAAUAUUUCCUUUUUGCCUUACACAUUUUGGGCAGUGAGUUGUAUAUCCAAAUAGCUGCCCCAUGACCUGUGUUCUCGUGUGACUCGUUUGUCUGUAGAAUUUUUACAGAUUUUUAAAAUUUUAAAAAAUAA